UACGAAGGGUGCAAGCGUUACUCGGAAUUACUGGGCGUAAAGGGUGCGUAGGCGGUUGUUUAAGUCUGCUGUGAAAGCCCCGGGCUCAACCUGGGAAUGGCAGUGGAUACUGGACAGCUAGAGUGCGGUAGAGGGUAGUGGAAUUCCCGGUGUAGCAGUGAAAUGCGUAGAGAUCGGGAGGAACACCAGUGGCGAAGGCGGCUACCUGGACCAGCACUGACACUGAAGCACGAAAGCGUGGGGAGAAAACAGG
rnacentral:rRNA from 1 species